GACAAGUAAUGAUUCUACUUGGUGAAGGGGGGACCCUAGUAAACAUAGUGUUCUUCAUGUAAUUGUAGAUUAACAAUAACAACAACAACAGCAAAAACUCUCUUUGAUGCAGCAGAAACGAUCAGCCUUCAGCUAGGAAUCUUCAACUAUGAGUUCUUGGAUUAUAGCCCAUUGCUUGGCUCCUUCCUGAUUGGGUCCUGCAUUAUUUUCAUGACAUCUGUGGUGCUGAAUCUGUUUAUCUCUGUCAUCCCAGUGGUCUUCAAUGAGGAGCAAAAAUACUAUCAGCUGUUGGAGGAAGAAGAGAUUGUUGAUUCGCUACUGAUGAAAAUACUCAGUUUCCUGGGCAUUAAAUAUAGAAGAGAGGAGUCUGGAAGCAGCAGUGAGCAGCUCGAGUUGCUGUCAGAGGCACAGGCCCCUCAUCCUGUACCGGCUACACCCACAGUCUAAGCUGCUCUGCCAUGCUGUCAUCUGUAGAGUGGGGGAAAGUCAGCUUUGGGCCCACACUUAUAGAUUUUGUAACCUUUCCAGGUUGAUGUUCUCCUGUGUCCAUAAAGUUACCAAGCCUGACAGGUAAAAAAAAAAAAAAAGG